rnacentral:rRNA from 1 species
GAUGAACGCUGGCGGCGUGCUUAACACAUGCAAGUCGAACGGGAACCUUUAUUUCGGUAAAGGUGAGAGUGGCAAACGGGUGAGUAACACGUAGGCAACCUGCCGACAGGAUGGGGACAACAUUCCGAAAGGAAUGCUAAUACCGAAUGGAGUCCGGAGAUGGCAUCAUCUCCGGAUAAAAGAUGGCCUCUGAAUAUGCUAUCGCCUGUCGAUGGGCCUGCGUCUGAUUAGCCAGUUGGCGGGGUAACGGCCCACCAAAGCGACGAUCAGUAGCCGGUCUGAGAGGAUGAACGGCCACAUUGGGACUGAGACACGGCCCAGACUCCUACGGGAGGCAGCAGUGGGGAAUCUUCCACAAUGGGCGAAAGCCUGAUGGAGCAACGCCGCGUGAGUGAAGAAGGUCUUCGGAUCGUAAAGCUCUGUUGCACGGGACGAAAACCGAGCUUGAGAAUAUUGAGUUUGGGUGACGGUACCGAGCGAGGAAGCC